GCCGGACCUCCCCUGGAGUGUUAAGCUCUCCAUAUGCAUUCUCUCCUUCGCCGUUGAUAUCACCCGUCGCUCUGAUGGCACUGUCAAUCGCUUUCUCAUGAGCUUUUUCGACCUUAGAACCUCUCCCUCCUAGAAACCAAUCAAAGGUGGUGUAAAAACUCGUGAUAUCAUGGUUGAUAAGACUAGAAACCUCUGGUUUCGCCUCUAUACCCCUAUCACCACCAACACCACCACAGUUGAAGUUUCUAAUGGAGCCGGCUUGCCUGUUAUUUUCUUCUUCCAUGGUGGUGGCUUUGCCUACUUGUCAACCAAUUCAAAAUUUUAUGAUGAUUUAUGCUACCGACUUGCCAGCGAACUCUCUACUUUUAUUAUCUCCGUCAACUACCGGUUGGCUCCAGAGCAUCGUUGUCCAACCCAGUACGAAGAUGGUUUUGAUACUCUCAAAUUCAUCAACAACGGAAGAAUUGAUGAUUUUUUAAGCAAAGCCAAUCUCAAACGCUGUUUUCUCGCAGGGGAUAGUGCAGGAGGCAACUUGGCACAUCAUGUGGCACUAAAAGCAAGUGAACAUGAAUUUUCUACAAUAAAACUCAAUGGAAACAUAUUGAUCCAACCAUUUUUUGGAGGUGAAGAACGAACAGAAUCUGAGUUGAGGCUUACACGAGCUCCAUUUAUUACGUUGGAGCGUACAGAUUGGAUGUGGAAGACAUUCUUGCCGAAGGGUGAAAAUCGGGACCAUCGGAUGGUGAAUGUUUUUGGGCCUAAUUGGGUUGACAUUUCCAAAGUCGAGUUUCUGAAAACAAUUAUUUUUGUGGGAAGUUAUGAUCCUUUACAAGAUUGGCAAAGAAGGUACCAUGAAGGGUUGAGGAAAUCCAGAAAAGAAGCAUAUUUGGAGGAGUUUCCUACUGCAAUGCACGCAUUUUAUCUUUUUCCUAAGCUGCCCGAGUCUUCUUUGUUGAUAAACAAAAUAAGGGAGUUUACGGAGAACCGAUCAUUAGGGGUGGCCACCGGUUCGGUUCGGGGCCAUUUCCAAGCCGGAACAAGCGGUUCGCUCCCUUCAGCCGAUUUGAACUAGAAUCAUGGUGUAGUUUGGUUCGAACCAAUUCCAAUUUCAAGUAGUCUCAUUUUAGUCCAGUAUUCUAAAGCAAUUUUGGUUUUUCAUGGUUCUGGUUGGACCUGGUUCAACAUGGUUCAACCUGUUUUAGGUCCAAUACCGGUUUGACCUCAGUGUUUCUUUUAAAAUGUAAGACAUUGU
rnacentral:misc_RNA from 1 species